rnacentral:rRNA from 1 species
AGUGAACGCUGGCGGCGUGCCUAAUACAUGCAAGUCGAACGUGAAAGUCCUUCGGGAUGAGUAAAGUGGCGCACGGGUGAGUAAUGGUUGAGAACGUGCCCUGAGGUGGGGAAUAACAGUUGGAAACGACUGCUAAUACCGCAUGGUGUCGCAAGACUAAAGGUGGGAUCUUCGGACCUACCGCCACAGGAUUGGCUCAA